GUUCCCUUGUGCCUGUGUUUCUAUCUAACAGGAUAAAGUAUGCCUCUCUAUCUACAAGAUUCUACAUGCAUCUCAAGACAGUGAAGACACUAAUUAUUGUUAUGGUUUGACACUGUGAGUACCCUUGUCUUAUAUUGUUCUCACCAAGUUCUACCCAAGAUAUUCCAUUAUAAAACAAAUAAAGUUAACCCAUGAUUAGAACAAAAAAUUGAUACCCUGAUGAUCACAGAGUUGAAGCAGAC
rnacentral:lncRNA from 1 species